CUCUUUUGAGAAAGCAUGGAUGUCAUUGAACUGAGGAUGAAGAAUGCUACUAACCUUCUAACAGAGUUUGUUGAGAAGAGGGCAGAGUGGGAGUGGCACAUGGAUAGGACAGCAAA